UGGCGCACGGGUGAGUAACGCGUAGGUAAUCUGCCUUUAUCCCUGACAUAACACCGAGAAAUUGGUGCUAAUAUCAGAUGAGGCCCUUAGGGGUCAAAGCUUCGGCGGAUAGAGAUGAGCCUGCGUCUGAUUAGCUAGUUGGUAAGGUAAUGGCUUACCAAGGCGACGAUCAGUAGCUGGUCUGAGAGGACGAUCAGCCACACUGGAACUGAGACACGGUCCAGACUCC
rnacentral:rRNA from 1 species